rnacentral:rRNA from 1 species
UUGCACGCUGGCGGCAUGCCUUACACCUGCAAGUCGAACGGCAGCACGGGUGCUUGCCCCUGGUGGCGAGUGGCGAACGGGUGAGUAAUACAUCGGAACAUGUCCUGUAGUGGGGGAUAGCCCGGCGAAAGCCGGAUUAAUACCGCAUACGAUCCACGGAUGAAAGCGGGGGACCUUCGGGCCUCGCGCUAUAGGGUUGGCCGAUGGCUGAUUAGCUAGUUGGUGGGGUAAAGGCCUACCAAGGCGACGAUCAGUAGCUGGUCUGAGAGGACGACCAGCCACACUGGGACUGAGACACGGCCCAGACUCCUACGGGAGGCAGCAGUGGGGAAUUUUGGACAAUGGGCGAAAGCCUGAUCCAGCAAUGCCGCGUGUGUGAAGAAGGCCUUCGGGUUGUAAAGCACUUUUGUCCGGAAAGAAAUCCUUGACUCUAAUACAGUCGGGGGAUGACGGUACCGGAAGAAUAAGCACCGGCUAACUACGUG